rnacentral:lncRNA from 1 species
GACGGAUCCCAUAGACCUUAACAGUCAUUGGAGACCUUUAGAUUUGAUUCUCAGUAGGAUGGAAAUCACUAGAGGGUUUUGAACAGGGAAGUAAUAUGAUCUCACUGUUUUAAAGAAUGCUUUCUGGCUGCUGAGGGGAGAGACUCACAAGAGAAAGAGGAGAAGCAGGAGGGAGGCCAAUAACCCAGGGUCAUUUGAGUUUUCUGAAAUUUACAUCUGAAAAAAUCCUAACUGAUAGAGAUAUCGGUACCAGGAAGUCAGGUCAGAGACUUGGGAGGUGCCUCUGUGAAAAAUAGUAUUCAAUGGGGAGACGAGGAGGCUGACAGAAAACAAGAGAGAAGUGGAGCAACCAGAACCUGCAAAAAAGAAGGAUGCUGAGAUUUGCUAAAAGGGAGAAAUACGGUGCUUACAGAUCUCUGCCUGAAUAUCUCCAGAGCUCUGCUCUUCAACUUUGUUGGAUAAAUUUUGGUGACUAUUCGACAGGCUGACUGUUGGGAACUACCAGACAACCUUGCAGAGACCUUCGACCUCCCACAAUCUCCCUGCCCACCAGGGAAGACCUCUCUUUACCUGGUCCUUUGUCUUCCCUUCUCGCUCACGAAUGUGGUUAGCAACAAUCCUUUCCGUUUCCUCGCAGAGUCUGGGGAAGUUUGCCAGCUGUCAAGAAAAGCAGAUCUGAGUAUUAAUACUCAAAAAGUUACACUACCAAAAAAGAAGCAGAGAUAAAUUAUGUUAUUUUACAGAAGAUAUUCAUUGCCAUUCUGGAAGCAAAAAUGAAAUAUCAUCAACUCCUAAAGAAGGAUGUCAAGGUGAUGGGAGAGGCUUCACAAACUAUCAUCAGAAGUAACCUUGUUAUGUUGAGGAAACACUUCAAAACCAGCAGAGCAAUUCCUUAGGAAGAAAGCAGAACCCUAGAUACCAUCUAGCACUGUGCUCCUGCUGAGUUGGCACUUAAUAAAAUUCAAAGAUGAAGAAGUCGGAAAACAGGACAAAGAAAAGGAUAAUGACUAACAUUUUAUAUAGUGUCUACCACGUGUCAGGCGCUAAGAACUUCAUGAAUUACCUCUUUCACUAUUCACAGCAAUCAGAAAAGACAGAUAUAAUUAUUAACCUCAUUUCUUUUUUAUUUUAUUUAUUUAUUUAUUUUGAGACAGAGUUUUGCUCUUGUCACCCAGGCUGGAGUGCAAUGGCGCAAUCUCAGCUCACUGCAACCUCUGCCUCCUGGGUUCAAGCGAUUCUCCUGUCUCAGCCUCCCGAGUAGCUGGGAUUACAGGCACGUGCCACCAAGCUCAGCUAAUUUUUGUAUUUUUAGUAAAGACAGGGUUUCACCAUGUUGGCCAGGCUGGUCUCUAACUUCUGACCUCAGGUGAUCCACCUGCCUUGGUCUCCCAAAGUGCUGGGAUUACAGGCGUGAGCCACCACGCCCGGCCAACCCCAUUUAAUAGAGGAGAAAAGUGAAGCACAGAGAGGUUAAGUAACUCAUGCCCAUGACUAAACAGCUCAAAAAUGGUUGGUUCAGGAUUCCAACCUAAGUCCUAGGACUCCAGAGCCCAUGGUCUUGUCCAUUACUCUUCGAGCAUGAUUCAUCCCAUGAAGCACAAAGAGACUCCUUUAACUUUUUAAAUUCUCCCCCACAGAAAAUAUAUGUGUAUAUGUACAUUUUUUUUGCAAAACUAUGGAAAUUGUGUAUGUCAAUCACUUAACCCCAUCUAAAUUAUGCAGGUAAUUGUUCAAAACAUAGUUUGCAAAAGUGAAUACCUUAAUUCAGUUGUUUUCAAUAUAAGGAAGAAAGAGAAUGGGAUGCUAUGAAAAUGUUUAAGGAGCCCUAAUCCAGAAGGAAGACUUAGACAGGCAAAGGUGUGUGAGAAUGGCCGUGGAGAAGAUGAAGCUUGCCAGGAACAGGAACAUGUGUGAAGGCAUGGUGGAAGUGGGGGCAAUUAGUGGCGAUAAAAGUAAAAGAAAGUCCGUGCAGAAACUGAGGAGUAUGAUCCUCAGACAAAGCUAGAAAAGUAGAGAGGGGCCACAUCAAGCAGAUCCUUGCAAUUCUAUCAGGAAUUUAGGCUACUGAAGCAAUUCAGAUGGAAUGGAAAUAAUGGUGGCUUCUACUGGGAUGACAGCAAUGGAAAUGGAGAAAAGUGGGCACAUUCAUGACUUAGGCCAGGCAAAAUAUUAAUUCCAAUGAUGAUUUUUAAAGUGCUUGCAAAUUAAUAAGAUUAACAGAUAGCUCAAUAAAAUAGGCAAAGAAUAUGAUUUAAUUUGUAAAAGACUUAAUAGUCAAUAAGCAGAAGGAAAAACAAACUGUACAAGUGAUCUAAUGCAAAGAAAAGAAAUAACUAUUAUAUUGGCAAAUUGCUAUUUUUUUAUAAGACUUACUACAGGUGAGGGUAUACUGAGAUUAGCACAAUUUAAACUUGCUGAGGGGUGUCAAGAAGAGAAAUCUUUCUGGAAAGCAAUUUGACAUUAUGUAUCAAAAGUCUUGCACGCGCGCACACACACACAAACACACACACACACACACACACAAACACAGAGACAGAGAGAGAGAUCUCAACCUAAUAACCUCACAGAAUUCUGAACUACAAUGAUAAGGACAUUCAUCACAGCAUUAGUUGGAAAAGCAACAAUAAGAUAAACAAACUAUAAACUACCUAGUAUCUGAUGAUGUUAAAUAAAUGAAGGUAGAUCCACUUACGUGAUGUAAUGUAGCCAUUUUGAAUAACAGUUUUAAUAAUAACUAAUGACAUGGUAAAGUAUUUACAACACUAUUUGAAGAAAAUUAGGCUACUAAAUAUAUAAUGUGGUUAUGCACAAGCAUAAUGUUUUGGUUUGGAUAUUUCUUUCCUCCAAAUUCAUGUUAAAAUUCAAUCCCCAAUGUGGCUAUAUUGACAAGUGGGGCUUUUAAGAGGUGAUUGGGCCAUGAAGGCUCUGCCAUCAUGAGUGGAUUAAUCCAUUCAUGGACUAAUGGAUUAAUAGGUUAUGGGAGUGGGACUGGUAGCUUUAUAAGAAGAGGACUAGCGACCUGAGCUAGCAUGCUACCACACUCAGCACCCUUACAAUAUGAUUGAUACCCUGCACCAGCAAGAAGGCCCUUACCAGAGGCAGACCCUCAACACUGGGUCUUCCAUAACUG